rnacentral:lncRNA from 1 species
CUACUAACAUGGAGGCAUUGAUGAGCUUGUUAAACAUACUAGGGUCUAAGAAUAUGUUGUUAUUCCAAAUGUUAUUACUUGGGACUUCGAUAUUGGAGGGCCACAGUUGAUGCCAAAUAUGCUGUUGGACCAAUUAUUUUUUCUUGGGACUUUGAUGUUGGAGGCCCACAGUUGGUACCAAAUGCUUUGCUGGUUUCACUAGAAUAAAGUGUCUUCCUUGUGCAAGCUGCC